UCAGGAUGAACGCUGGCGGCGUGCUUAACACAUGCAAGUCGAACGGAGUUAGAGAGCUUGCUCUUAAACUUAGUGGCGGACGGGUGAGUAACGCGUGGGUAACCUGCCUUUCACUGGGGGAUAACAGUUAGAAAUGACUGCUAAUACCGCAUAAGCGCACGGGAUCGCAUGAUCUAGUGUGAAAAAACUCCGGUGGUGAAAGAUGGACCCGCGUCUGAUUAGCUAGUUGGUGAGGUAACGGCCCACCAAGGCGACGAUCAGUAGCCGGCCUGAGAGGGUGAACGGCCACAUUGGGACUGAGACACGGCCCAAACUCCUACGGGAGGCAGCAGUGGGGAAUAUUGCACAAUGGGGGAAACCCUGAUGCAAGCGACGCCGCGUGAGUGAAGAAGUAUUUCGGUAUGUAAAGCUCUAUCAGCAGGGAAGAAAAUGACGGUACCUGACUAAGAAGCCCCGGCUAACUACGUGCCAGCAGCAGC
rnacentral:rRNA from 1 species